GGAGAUGUGGUCCAAUGGUUAAGAGCACUGGCUGCCCUUGAAGAGGACCUGGGUUCAAGUUCCAGCACCUUCA
rnacentral:tRNA from 1 species